GAUGAACGCUAGCGGGAGGCCUAAUACAUGCAAGUCGAACGGUAACAGGGUAGCAAUACCGCUGACGAGUGGCGCACGGGUGCGUAACACGUACACAAUCUACCUUAUACUGGAGCAUAACCUCGGGAAACUGAGGCUAAUUCUCCAUAACAUAUUAAAAAGGCAUCUUUUUGUAUAUUAAAACUACCGGUGGUAUAAGAUGAGUGUGCGUCUGAUUAGCUAGUUGGUGGGGUAACGGCUCACCAAGGCAACGAUCAGUAGCUGGUCUGAGAGGAUGAUCAGCCACACGGGCACUGAGACACGGGCCCGACUCCUACGGGAGGCAGCAGUAGGGAAUAUUGGACAAUGGGCGCAAGACCUGAUCCAGCAAUGCCGCGUGAGUG
rnacentral:rRNA from 1 species